rnacentral:rRNA from 1 species
GACGUAGGGCGCGAGCGUUGUCCGGAUUUAUUGGGCGUAAAGAGCUCGUAGGCGGCUUGUCGCGUCGUCCGUGAAAACCCACAGCUCAACUGUGGGCUUGCGGUCGAUACGGGCAGGCUAGAGUUCGGUAGGGGAGACUGGAAUUCCUGGUGUAGCGGUGAAAUGCGCAGAUAUCAGGAGGAACACCCGUGGCUAAGGCGGCUCUCUAGUACGUGACUGACGCUGAGACGCGAAAGCGUGGGGAGCGAACAGG